GACGCACGCUGGCGGCGUGCUUAACACAUGCAAGUCGAACGGAGUGGCGAACGGGUGAGUAACACGUGGGUGAUCUGCCUUGCACUUCGGGAUAAGCUUGGGAAACUGGGUCUAAUACCGGAUAGUGCAAGAUGAGCUCGCGGCCUCUCAGCUUGUUGGUGGGGUAAUGGCCUACAAAGGCGUCGACGGGUAGCCGGCCUGAUAGGGUGUACGGCAAAAUGGGGACUGAGGUGAGGCCCUGACUCCUACGGGAGGCAGAAUUGAGGAAUAUGGAAUACUGUGCGGAAGCCUGAUGCAGCGACGCCGCGUGGGUGUUGGAGUUUUUCGGGUUGUAAACGCCUGUCGACAGGGACGCCGUACCUGUAUAGGAAGCACCGACUAACGAUGUGACAGCAGCCGCGGUAAUAC
rnacentral:rRNA from 1 species